GCAAAAACUAACCAAAAAACCCCUCAUUAUCACACAUAUUUUCUAGAAUUUAUUUUUUUGGAAAAAGGUUCUUUCCGGCGCAAGCAUACUACUACCAUUUGGGCUCGCGAUUGGUUGCCACUACUCUAUAUUGUAGCUUGCUGCCGACGGAUGAGGAUAAAUUUCAGAUGGAGCCUUGGCAAUAUAGUGCAWUGCAGUCAAAAUUCUCGUCGCUGCUUCAGAUUUUGAGUAACACGUCUAUUAGAAAGAGUUUAAGUUGGUCCAGUAAACAGCAGGAAACUGGGGAUAUGAAUCAAGUAUACAAUGAAUCAUCCAGAAUUGGAACUAAGCGGAAGCUAAAUUGUAUUGAUACGGACUCCACAUAUCAUGUGAAUGUGAGUAUGCAAAAAAACAUCAGAAUGCAAAGAGGUUGAUAUGAUGGGAAUUCUGUUGUUUUCUAUUGUCUAAUCUAUAUUGUUGUUCAGUGUUAUUUGGUAAGUACUAACGAAUGCAGUAAGAUGUAAUUCAGAUSAUUGGUCUGCAAAAUCUGGCCRCACGUAUCUUUCUAAGUAUCUACUUUUUUUAUGCUAAUCAAUGCUCUCAGCAAAGAAUCCWGCACGCUAAAGUGUUAAAUAGAGCUCUACCGUAACAGUGGAACACUACAGUUUAUUUUUUUUAUCAUGUAGGUAUCUCUCAUUUUCUUGACAAAAUAAAAAAGAAUUUGACUGUUGCAUCCAUCAAGAUAAGUUUUACAUGGACACUCAUAUUUCAUAUAUGUGCUCAUUAUUAUUCAAGAGGCUACAAUUAAUGACUGUUCUAGAAUAUCAAAUUAAAACAUUAAAACCAAAUAAAUCACUGCACACUAGGAAAUCUARAUUCUCUGGACUUCUUAACUUUAUCACUCCAAUAUACAAUAGAAAAACUGAGGAGGGAAGAACUUUUCUCGUCAAAGCUAUUACAAGUGGAACAAUUUAGAUGUCAAUAUUCAGAAUUCAAAGUACCUACAAUCAAAUCUUUGUCAGAAACUUCUAAAUAAACAAAAAAAU